GCAAUUGGAAUGGCAAUUGGAAUGGCACUGGACAGGUGAGAAAAUGUUAGGCAUUCCUUUAUAACCAGAGCUACUGCCCAAAGCCAACCCUGAUGCCCUUCUUGCCUGGCAUCUCAUCUUGUCGGAGGUUCCUGCCUGAAGGUGGGGUUGCUUUAAAAGAUGACUGAGUGAGCAGAGGUUUCCAUCAGAGACCUUGAAUGUGGAUUUACUCUGGUCAUUGCUCUAGCUUGCAUAAAUGUCUAAAGGCAGCAGGUGACAGCUGUCAGAUGCAGCAAUGAUUCACUGAAUCCAUGAAAAGGAUUCUUAUAUCCUCUUCCAAAUGCCACAGCUUUUUUGUUUGUUUGUUUGUUUUUUAUUUUAAAUAUCUCUCCCUUGCUUGAACAUACACCUCUACUGCUAUCCGUCCCUAGAUCAGAGCGCUGAAUAUUUUUUGCAGGGAUUUUUUGUAAAUCCAUGGUGUGAGAUGUAGCUACUUGCACGGUCUGAAAAUAUUUGGUUUUCUGAAAACAUGUGGUUUUCUUAUCUCUGCAGUGGGGUAACAACCAACAAAUCAUCGCUGAUGGAGAUUCCCACAUCUCCAUCUCUGGUGGGAACUCUCAUAUCUCCAUCUCUGGUGUCUCACAAAGCAUAAGCAUCAAUAGCCAAACACAAAAGGCAAUUAUAGAGCAAAAGAGCAACCAUUUGUCCUGGAAAACCAUCUGGAACUACAACACGGUGAGUGGAAGGGAGGGGGCUUGUUCAAAAAGUAUACAAUGAGAUUGGCUGCUCAUACAGCUGGCCCAGUGGCUGGGAUUGUGGCUUUAUCUUAAAUUUUUGAGACCAUAAUAUUGGGUAGAAACUCUUGGCAUUUAUUAUUGUUUGAAUCCAAACUUUAUUCCAGUGUUCACAGUUGGAAAAAACUGAAUUGUGAAUGCUAAAUAAUUUUAUUUUACAGGGUGUCAUUGCAACAAAAGUGAUGCCAGAGAGAACAUGCUACAUUUCCACCAUGAACAGGAGUGAAAUGCCUACCUUUGCUGCACUUGUCAGAGUGGCUGCAGAGAGGAGGAACCUUUUCGGUUUUGGAAGACCGACCAAGGAGAUCACCUUUGUCACCAAUGGAUUGGUCAGCAACCUCCAGUCUUAUGGAUCAGAUGUCUUCUCUCUGUGCAGUGGACUCACCACCUACAUGGCUUAUGAGGUUCAUGUACCCCAAUACAAUGAACAACCAUGCAUUGCACUUAACGUCUUGAGACUUGUGGAGCUGAGGUACUGCAGUGGCAAUGGACAGGUCAGAAACCCUUACCUUUCUUGAACCGAGAUCCAGCCUUCGGAGCUGCUGCCCAAAGCCAACCCUGAUACCGUCCUUCCCUGAUAUCUCUUCUUUCAAGAGUUUUGUUCUUCAUGGUUCAGAACCUGAAACAGAUCAUGUGUUGACUAGAGCUUUCAAUUAAAAAUCUUUUGCAUAGAUGACCUCUGGCUUGUUUCUCAUUACUCUAUCCUUCAAUCAUCUUUGAAAUUUCCAUGGAAAUAUUUUUAUUGUCUCCCUUCUGCCCCAUUUGAGCCCUUCAAAUGCUCUUUUCAUUGCCAGCUCUCAAAACAGGGCACAGACAAAGAGCUGGGCAAGCCCCAGGGUAUGUAUAGUACAAAUAAGGCAUUCACAGUUAGGACCUUCCUUCCCAGUUUGGGGAAAGAUGCCUCACAUUAAGAAUCUUGAUUCAGGUGGCACAAAAGGCAGAAAGAAAGAAGGGCAAAGCACUGAAUUUGCCUUCUUUAGGGCAAGGGCAGUCUCUGUGGAAUUUAUCAUGUUGUUCUUACAGAGCCCUCCAUUUUCCAGUGCAUAGCAAAGACUGGCUACAGGGCAUCACGUUGAACACUGACGUGGAUGAAAAUGUGCUCCAAAGAUGCAGGCACAGUAUAAACACAACUGUUGAUCCCUGAGGACAGUGCAAGAUUCCCACUCAUCUCCUCCUCCCCCCAAAUGUCUUUCUUUCAGACAUGGACAUGCAAAAAAAAAAAAAAAAAAAAAAAAAAAAAAUCUGUCUUACUGUAACGGUACCAACAAAAUAAAAUAUUUUUUCCAUUUUUGCUGCCAGGAACAUGUCUC
ensembl:lncRNA